UACGUAGGUGGCAAGCGUUGUCCGGAAUUAUUGGGCGUAAAGCGCGCGCAGGCGGUCCUUUAAGUCUGAUGUGAAAGCCCACGGCUCAACCGUGGAGGGUCAUUGGAAACUGGGGGACUUGAGUACAGAAGAGAAGAGUGGAAUUCCACGUGUAGCGGUGAAAUGCGUAGAGAUGUGGAGGAACACCAGUGGCGAAGGCAGCUUCUUGGUCCAUUCCUGACACUGAUACACGAAAGCGUGGGGAGCAAACAGG
rnacentral:rRNA from 1 species